GACGGUACUUGCAGAAGAAGCACCGGCUAACUAUGUGCCAGCAGCCGCGGUAAUACAUAGGGUGCAAGCGUUGUCCGGAAUUAUUGGGCGUAAAGAGCUCGUAGGUGGUUCGUCACGUCGGAUGUGAAAAUCUGGGGCUUAACCCCAGACCUGCAUUCGAUACGGGCGAGCUAGAGUGUGGUAGGGGAGACUGGAAUUCCUGGUGUAGCGGUGGAAUGCGCAGAUAUCAGGAGGAACACCAAUGGCGAAGGCAGGUCUCUGGGCCAUUACUGACACUGAGGAGCGAAAGCGUGGGGAGCGAACAGGAUUAGAUACCCUGGUAGUCCACGCCGUAAACGGUGGGCACUAGUUGUGGGAACCUUCCACGGUUUCUGCGACGCAGCUAACGCAUUAAGUGCCCCGCCUGGGGAGUACGAUCGCAAGAUUAAAACUC
rnacentral:rRNA from 1 species